rnacentral:rRNA from 1 species
AUUGAACGCUGGCGGCAGGCCUAACACAUGCAAGUCGAACGGUAACAGGAAGAAGCUUGCUUCUUUGCUGACGAGUGGCGGACGGGUGAGUAAUGUCUGGGAAACUGCCUGAUGGAGGGGGAUAACUACUGGAAACGGUAGCUAAUACCGCAUAACGUCGCAAGACCAAAGAGGGGGACCUUCGGGCCUCUUGCCAUCGGAUGUGCCCAGAUGGGAUUAGCUAGUAGGUGGGGUAACGGCUCACCUAGGCGACGAUCCCUAGCUGGUCUGAGAGGAUGACCAGCCACACUGGAACUGAGACACGGUCCAGACUCCUACGGGAGGCAGCAGUGGGGAAUAUUGCACAAUGGGCGCAAGCCUGAUGCAGCCAUGCCGCGUGUAUGAAGAAGGCCUUCGGGUUGUAAAGUACUUUCAGCGGGGAGGAGGGGAGUAAAGUUAAUACCUUGACUCAUUGACGUUACCCGCAGAAGAAGCACCGGCUAACUCCGUG